rnacentral:misc_RNA from 1 species
AAUACCCAAGUCAUGACCUAUCCCUGAGGCCGAGGGGGGCGAAAGCAGUAUUUUCUAGGACGAAGCGGAGCCACUAGUGGAGUGGCGAAGGAGGCCGACUAUACGUAUACUGGAUUAGUAACUGGUGAAAUAAAAAAAACUCAAAAAAAUUUCAGUGAACUAUUGAAGCUAUCAGUGUGAUUGAUAAGACAAGUACCAAGGGCUUUCGGUAGACUUCUUUCAUUUCCGAAUUAGCUUGCGACAAGUUCUAGCAUUAGUAUGAGUUCGUUGACCGCGUAAGGGCAAUCCAUCUUGAUGACGAAUUCCACGAUAACAAGAAAUAGAAAUUAAUCGUUCGAUGUCUGCUCGUUCUCCCCUCUUCAAUUCCCAAUGAACAACAUGAUCUUGACCUAUCAUUUGUUCAAUUUGGUCGAUCUGAUACUUAUUUAACUCUUUUAUCUUUAUGUUCCCACUGAUACCUAAUCGAUAACAAACCUGAAUGGCUUUUUUAGGUCCAAUUCCAUCCAUUUUUGUUAAGGCAAUUCUUACUUGUUCAUCGGCAACUAAUCGAGCUCCUGAAAUAUAUGACAUUCUUGAUCCUUCCUUUUACUAGUCUAGUCUUCUCGGCUGG